rnacentral:rRNA from 1 species
AGGAUUAACGCUGGCGGCGUGCCUAACACAUGCAAGUCGAACGAGGUAGCAAUACCUAGUGGCAGACGGGUGAGUAACGCGUGGUCAACCUACCGUUGAGUGGGGGAUAACUAGCCGAAAGGUUAGCUAAUACCGCAUACGAGUCUCGGGGGCAUCCCUGAGCCUUAAAAGGAGCAAUCCGCUCGAUGACGGGACCGCGUCCCAUUAGCUAGAUGGUGGGGUAACGGCCUACCAUGGCACCGAUGGGUAGCUGGUUUGAGAGAGCGACCAGCCACACCCUGGGACUGAGAAACGGCCCAGACUCCUACGGGAGGCAGCAGUGAGGAAUUUUCCGCAAUGGGCGAAAGCCUGACGGAGCGACGCCGCGUGUGGGAAGAAGGCCUUCGGGUCGUAAACCACUGUCGAAGGGGACGAUAAUGACGGUACCCUUGGAGGAAGCCCCGGCUAACUACGUGCCAGCAGCCGC